rnacentral:rRNA from 1 species
GACGAACGCUGGCGGCGUGCUUAACACAUGCAAGUCGAACGGAAAGGCCCUGCUUUUGUGGGGUGCUCGAGUGGCGAACGGGUGAGUAACACGUGAGUAACCUGCCCUUGACUUUGGGAUAACUUCAGGAAACUGGGGCUAAUACCGGAUAGGAGCUCCUGCUGCAUGGUGGGGGUUGGAAAGUUUCGGCGGUUGGGGAUGGACUCGCGGCUUAUCAGCUUGUUGGUGGGGUAGUGGCUUACCAAGGCUUUGACGGGUAGCCGGCCUGAGAGGGUGACCGGCCACAUUGGGACUGAGAUACGGCCCAGACUCCUACGGGAGGCAGCAGUGGGGAAUACUGCACAAUGGGCGGAAGCCUGAUGCAGCAACGCCGCGUGCGGGAUGACGGCCUUCGGGUUGUAAACCGCCUUCGCCUGUGACGAAGCGUGAGUGACGGUAAUGGGUAAAGAAGCACCGGCUAACUACGUG